UACGGAGGGAGCUAGCGUUGUUCGGAAUUACUGGGCGUAAAGCGCGCGUAGGCGGCUUUGUAAGUUAGAGGUGAAAGCCCGGGGCUCAACCCCGGAAUUGCCUUUAAGACUGCAUCGCUUGAAUCCGGGAGAGGUGAGUGGAAUUCCGAGUGUAGAGGUGAAAUUCGUAGAUAUUCGCAAGAACACCGGUGGCGAAGGCGGGUCUCUGGGCCGAUACUGACGCUGAGGAGCGAAAGCGUGGGGAGCGAACAGG
rnacentral:rRNA from 1 species